UGGGGAAUAUUGCACAAUGGGCGCAAGCCUGAUGCAGCCAUGCCGCGUGUGUGAAGAAGGCCUUCGGGUUGUAAAGCACUUUCAGCGAGGAGGAAGGUGGUGAACUUAAUACGUUCAUCAAUUGACGUUACUCGCAGAAGAAGCACCGGCUAACUCCGUGCCAGCAGCCGCGGUAAUACGGAGGGUGCAAGCGUUAAUCGGAAUUACUGGGCGUAAAGCGCACGCAGGCGGUUUGUUAAGUCAGAUGUGAAAUCCCCGGGCUCAACCUGGGAACUGCAUUUGAAACUGGCAAGCUAGAGUCUCGUAGAGGGGGGUAGAAUUCCAGGUGUAGCGGUGAAAUGCGUAGAGAUCUGGAGGAAUACCGGUGGCGAAGGCGGCCCCCUGGACGAAGACUGACGCUCAGGUGCGAAAAGCGUGGGGAGCAAAACAGGAUUAGAUCAGCCCUGGU
rnacentral:rRNA from 1 species